UGGGGAAUAUUGCACAAUGGGCGAAAGCCUGAUGCAGCAACGCCGCGUGAGGGACGACGGCCUUCGGGUUGUAAACCUCUUUUAGCAAGGAAGAAGCGAAAGUGACGGUACUUGCAGAAAAAGCGCCGGCUAACUACGUGCCAGCAGCCGCGGUAAUACGUAGGGCGCAAGCGUUAUCCGGAAUUAUUGGGCGUAAAGAGCUCGUAGGCGGUUUGUCGCGUCUGCUGUGAAAACCCGAGGCUCAACCUCGGGCCUGCAGUGGGUACGGGCAGACUAGAGUGCGGUAGGGGAGAUUGGAACUCCUGGUGUAGCGGUGGAAUGCGCAGAUAUCAGGAAGAACACCGAUGGCGAAGGCAGAUCUCUGGGCCGUAACUGACGCUGAGGAGCGAAAGGGUGGGGAGCAAAACAGGCUUAGAUACCCUGGUAGUCCACCCCGUAAACGUUGGGAACUAGUUGUGGGGUCCAUUCCACGGAUUCCGUGACGCAGCUAACGCAUUAAGUUCCCCGCCUGGGGAGUACGGCCGCAAGGCUAAAACUUGAAAUGAAUUGACGGGGUCAUAGCUGUUUCCU
rnacentral:rRNA from 1 species